rnacentral:rRNA from 1 species
CUGGUCUGAGAGGAUGAUCAGCCACACCGGGACUGAGACACGGGCCCGGACUCCACGGGAGGCAGCAGUGGGGAAUAUUGGACAAUGGGGGGAACCCUGAUCCAGCCAUGCCGCGUGUGUGAAGAAGGCCUUUUGGUUGUAAAGCACUUUAAGCAGUGAAGAAGACUCUUCGGUUAAUACCCGGGGACGAUGACAUUAGCUGCAGAAUAAGCACCGGCUAACUCUGUGCCAGCAGCCGCGGUAAUACAGAGGGUGCAAGCGUUAAUCGGAAUUACUGGGCGUAAAGCGAGCGUAGGUGGCUUGAUAAGUCAGAUGUGAAAUCCCCGGGCUUAACCUGGGAACUGCAUCUGAAACUGUUAGGCUAGAGUAGGUGAGAGGGAAGUAGAAUUUCAGGUGUAGCGGUGAAAUGCGUAGAGAUCUGAAGGAAUACCGAUGGCGAAGGCAGCUUCCUGGCAUCAUACUGACACUGAGGCUCGAAAGCGUGGGUAGCAAACAGGAUUAGAUACCCUGGUAGUCCACGCCGUAAACGAUGUCUACUAGUCGUUGGGUCCCUUGAGGACUUAGUGACGCAGCUAACGCAAUAAGUAGACCGCCUGGGGAGUACGGCCGCAAGGUUAAAACUCAAAUGAAUUGACGGGGGCCCGCACAAGCGGUGGAGCAUUUGGUUUAAUUCGAUGCAACGCGAAGAACCUUACCUGG